rnacentral:rRNA from 1 species
CGGUGAAUACGUUCCCGGACCUUGCACACACCGCCCGUCAAGCCAUGGAAGCUGGGUGUACCUAAAGUCGGUAACCGUAAGGAGCCGCCUAGGGUAAAACUAGUGACUGGGGUG